UUUCCUUAAAAAAAAACAUUAUUCAGAAAUUCUGAUGCAUUUUCAAUUAUUAAACAAAUAGCGGUUGAGCAUUAAACUGCUAUUCCGAUUUCAAAUAUUAAUUCAGAGCUCUCAUAAUUGAAAUUCAUUUACUGGAAUGAGAUAGGUGAAGCACGUAUGUGCCCUAACCCCGACUAUAUCUUGUUCUCUCUCGCAAGUGUAGCUGUGCUUACUAAAAUUCGAAUUGAGAUAAUUUGAUUAGGUUGCUCGUGGCGUGUUUAUAUUGACAAUACAAAAAUGGCAACUACUGAGACUGGACUGGAGUCUCUUGUUGAUCAAGCAAUUUCAGUUAUCACAAAUGAUGGACGGAAUAUUGUGGUGAGUUUCAUGCAAAAAAAUUAUCAUGUACAUUUUGUUAAAAAAAAAAAUGCAGGGAAUUCUGAAAGGUUUCGACCAGGCUACCAACAUAAUCCUUGAUGAGUCUCAUGAGCGGGUGUAUUCCACCAAGGUCUGAUUUCGUACAAGUAUCGAACUUGUAAAAAUUGCCCUUAACCAAUUGUCUGCCUUAAUGAUAUAACU